rnacentral:rRNA from 1 species
AUACGGAGGGUGCAAGCGUUACUCGGAAUCACUGGGCGUAAAGCGCAUGCAGGCGGUCUAAUAAGUUGGAAGUGAAAGCCUAUGGCUCAACCAUAGAACUGCUUCCAAAACUGUUAGACUUGAGUCUGGGAGGGGAAGAUGGAAUUAGUAGUGUAGGGGUAAAAUCCGUAGAGAUUACUAGGAAUACCAAAAGCGAAGGCGAUCUUCUGGAACAGUACUGACGCUGAGAUGCGAAAGCGUGGGGAGCAAACAGGAUUAGAAACCCGAGUAGUCC